UACGUAGGUGGCAAGCGUUGUCCGGAUUUACUGGGCGUAAAGAGCGCGCAGGCGGUCGAAUAAGUCGAAUGUGAAAGCCCCCGGCUUAACUGGGGAGGGUCAUUCGAUACUGCUCGACUUGAAGGCAGGAGAGGGUAGUGGAAUUCCCGGUGUAGUGGUGAAAUGCGUAGAUAUCGGGAGGAACACCAGUGGCGAAGGCGACUACCUGGCCUGUUUCUUGACGCUGAGGCGCGAAAGCUAGGGGAGCAAACGGG
rnacentral:rRNA from 1 species